AUCGAUGAAGAACGCAGCGAAAUGCGAUAAGUAAUGUGAAUUGCAGAAUUCAGUGAAUCAUCGAAUCUUUGAACGCACCUUGCGCUCCCUGGUAUUCCGGGGAGCAUGCCUGUUUGAGUGUCAUGGUAUUCUCAACCUUCAUAACUUUUGUUAUCGAAGGCUUGGAUUUGGAGGUUGUGCUGGCUUCUCGUCAAGUCGGCUCCUCUUAAAAGCAUUAGCGUGAGUGUAACGGAUCGCUUCGGUGUGAUAAUUAUCUGCGCCGUGGUCGUGAAGUAACAUAAGCUUGCGCUUCUAACCGUCCUUCGGCUGGACAAUUUAUUCUGACGUCUGACCUCAAAUCAGGUAGGACUACCCGCUGAACUUAAGCAUAUCAAUAAGCGGAGGAAAAGAAACUAACAAGGAUUCCCCUAGUAACUGCGAGUGAAGCGGGAAAAGCUCAAAUUUAAAAUCUGAUAGUCUUUGGCUGUCCGAGUUGUAAUCUGGAGAAGCGUCUUCCGCGCUGGACCGUGUACAAGUCUCCUGGAACGGAGCGUCAUAGAGGGUGAGAAUCCCGUCUUUGACACGGACUACCAGUGCUUUGUGAUGCGCUCUCAAAGAGUCGAGUUGUUUGGGAAUGCAGCUCAAAAUGGGUGGUAAACUCCAUCUAAAGCUAAAUAUUGGCGAGAGACCGAUAGCGAACAAGUACCGUGAGGGAAAGAUGAAAAGCACUUUGGAAAGAGAGUUAAACAGUACGUGAAAUUGCUGAAAGGGAAACGCUUGAAGUCAGUCGCGUUUGCUAGGACUCAGCCUUGCCUCGGCUUGGUGCACUUCCUAGUAGACGGGUCAGCAUCAAUUUUGACUGCUGGAAAAAGGUCUUGGGAAUGUGGCAGCUUCGGCUGUGUUAUAGCCCUUGGUCACAUACAGCGGUUGGGAUUGAGGAACUCAGCACGCCGCAAGGCCGGGUUUCGACCACGUUCGUGCUUAGGAUGCUGGCAUAAUGGCUUUAAGCGACCCGUCUUGAAACACG
rnacentral:rRNA from 1 species